CCGUAGGGUGAACCUGCGGAGGGAUCAUUA
rnacentral:rRNA from 6 species